rnacentral:rRNA from 1 species
UACGGAGGAUGCAAGCGUUAUCCGGAUUUAUUGGGUUUAAAGGGUGCGCAGGUUGUUUGAUAAGUCAGUGGUGAAAGUCUGUCGCUUAACGGUAGGAUUGCCAUUGAUACUGUUGGACUUGAAUAUGGAUGAGGUAGGCGGAAUGUGUAGUGUAGCGGUGAAAUGCAUAGAUAUUACACAGAACACCGAUUGCGAAGGCAGCUUACUAAUCCGUCAUUGACGCUGAGGCACGAAAGCGUGGGGAUCAAACAGGA